rnacentral:tRNA from 3 species
GCCUAUGUAGCUCAGGUGGUAGAGCACUUCCUUGGUAAGGAAGAGGUCAGCGGUUCAAACCCGCUCAUAGGCUCCA